rnacentral:rRNA from 1 species
AAGUCGAACGGAAAGGCCCUGCUUUUGUGGGGUGCUCGAGUGGCGAACGGGUGAGUAACACGUGAGUAACCUGCCCUUGACUUUGGGAUAACUUCAGGAAACUGGGGCUAAUACCGGAUAGGAGCUCCUGCUGCAUGGUGGGGGUUGGAAAGUUUCGGCGGUUGGGGAUGGACUCGCGGCUUAUCAGCUUGUUGGUGGGGUAGUGGCUUACCAAGGCUUUGACGGGUAGCCGGCCUGAGAGGGUGACCGGCCACAUUGGGACUGAGAUACGGCCCAGACUCCUACGGGAGGCAGCAGUGGGGAAUAUUGCACAAUGGGCGGAAGCCUGAUGCAGCAACGCCGCGUGCGGGAUGACGGCCUUCGGGUUGUAAACCGCUUUCGCCUGUGACGAAGCGUGAGUGACGGUAAUGGGUAAAGAAGCACCGGCUAACUACGUGCCAGCAGCCGCGGUGAUACGUAGGGUGCGAGCGUUGUCCGGAUUUAUUGGGCGUAAAGGGCUCGUAGGUGGUUGAUCGCGUCGGAAGUGUAAUCUUGGGGCUUAACCCUGAGCGUGCUUUCGAUACGGGUUGACUUGAGGAAGGUAGGGGAGAAUGGAAUUCCUGGUGGAGCGGUGGAAUGCGCAGAUAUCAGGAGGAACACCAGUGGCGAAGGCGGUUCUCUGGGCCUUUCCUGACGCUGAGGAGCGAAAGCGUGGGGAGCGAACAGGCUUAGAUACCCUGGUAGUCCACGCUGUAAACGGUGGGUACUAGGUGUGGGGUCCAUUCCACGGGUUCCGUGCCGUAGCUAACGCUUUAAGUACCCCGCCUGGGGAGUACGGCCGCAAGGCUAAAACUCAAAGGAAUUGACGGGGCCCCGCACAAGCGGCGGAGCAUGCGGAUUAAUUCGAUGCAACGCGUAGAACCUUACCUGGGUUUGACAUGGAUCGGGAGUGCUCAGAGAUGGGUGUGCCUCUUUUGGGGUCGGUUCAC